CUCUCAGCUGACUUAAUCUGAAAUUGCCGCAGCUUCGAUCCUCGUGAUCAGAAUCUUGCUGCUUUUACCAGCCACACCCACCGGACGUCGACCAGCAUAAGAGAGACAAGGAAGCUAUCAAAACCAUCCCUGUGAAAGAUCUUUGUCCACUGCUGACACUCUUGUAAGAUCUAGGCAAAGAGUGAUAAAACUCCAACGCCCCAAGGUUGUCUUUGUGGCCCUCAUCCUUCUUCAGCUCCAUCUCCUGAAGAUCAGCA
rnacentral:lncRNA from 1 species